rnacentral:rRNA from 1 species
CCUGGCGACUUUGGAGAAGGGGAAAUACCUGAUCCCAUCCCGAACUCAGAAGUCAAGCCCUUCAUCGCCGAUGGUACUAUGCCCAAGAGCAUGGGAGAGUAGGUCGUCGCCAGGA